CCCACAAGCCCCCCCAAAUAUGCUAUUUUAAAAGUGGGCUAAGGAUGGAAAUAAUAAUCCAAAAAAGAAAUGAUACAAAUAGUCCUCAGGACUCCCUGAAGAUCUCCUCUGGCAAACAUGAAUAAAAAGAGUUCAAAUUUUAAAAUGUCCUGAAGAAUGACCAGUGGUGUUGAGAACAAGUGGACUGACAAUAUCCGAUUUGGACCACCAGAUGUCAGUCUUUGUACAGUAAUCAAUCUCUGCAGCCCCCAAAGACUCCACAAGAUCAAUGGAUUCAAGAUAAGCAGGCAUUUUCCAUAGCGGCCCAGAGCGCUCAGAUGGUUCUCUUAAACAAAACUUGCUUCAGAAUUCUUCAGGUCAUUAUUCACUGCAAGGGGCACCUUCUGAAAACAACAAGACUUGAAAUAUUGAUGAAAGAAGCAGAAAACAUGAGUUCUAGACUCCAUGAUCUUUACCACCUGUCGGUCCCCGUGGAGGAAGGUCGGCAGGGCAAGUAUCAUCAUCCUAUUUGA
rnacentral:lncRNA from 1 species